CAAGUCGAACGGCAGCACGGAGCUUGCUCUGGUGGCGAGUGGCGAACGGGUGAGUAAUAUAUCGGAACGUACCCAGGAGUGGGGGAUAACGUAGCGAAAGUUACGCUAAUACCGCAUACGUCCUAAGGGAGAAAGCAGGGGAUCGCAAGACCUUGUGCUCAUGGAGCGGCCGAUAUCUGAUUAGCUAGUUGGUGGGGUAAAAGCCUACCAAGGCAACGAUCAGUAGCUGGUCUGAGAGGACGACCAGCCACACUGGAACUGAGACACGGUCCAGACUCCUACGGGAGGCAGCAGUGGGGAAUUUUGGACAAUGGGGGCAACCCUGAUCCAGCAAUGCCGCGUGAGUGAAGAAGGCCUUCGGGUUGUAAAGCUCUUUUGUCAGGGAAGAAAAGGCUGUGGCUAAUAUCCACGGCUCAUGACGGUACCUGAAGAAUAAGCACCGGCUAACUACGUGCCAGCAGCCGCGGUAAUACGUAGGGUGCAAGCGUUAAUCGGAAUUACUGGGCGUAAAGCGUGCGCAGGCGGUUUUGUAAGACUGUCGUGAAAUCCCCGGGCUUAACCUGGGAAUGGCGAUGGUGACUGCAAGGCUAGAGUUUGGCAGAGGGGGGUAGAAUUCCACGUGUAGCAGUGAAAUGCGUAGAUAUGUGGAGGAACACCGACGGCGAAGGCAGCCCCCUGGGUCAAAACUGACGCUCAUGCACGAAAGCGUGGGGAGCAAACAGGAUUAGAUACCCUGGUAGUCCACGCCCUAAACGAUGUCUACUAGUUGUCGGGUCUUAAUUGACUUGGUAACGCAGCUAACGCGUGAAGUAGACCGCCUGGGGAGUACGGUCGCAAGAUUAAAACUCAAAGGAAUUGACGGGGACCCGCACAAGCGGUGGAUGAUGUGGAUUAAUUCGAUGCACGCGAAAAACCUU
rnacentral:rRNA from 1 species